GGGAUUCAGGUUCUUAAUGCUCAAAUAAAAAAACGGAUAUAUACUAAAUUCGAGUUCUCUAUUUUCUCUCACGCUUAAAUCCUUCUUCUCCACAGUUCUUUUUCCCUCUAUCCAUGUAUUUGAAGUUUUGCAAAUCUUCAUCCCAAGUCACUCUUAGACACGUCUCAAAUUUCAAUUUCCUUAUUUGUUUAUUACUAAUCAUUAUUUUAAUUCAACAGGCCUAGCAAAAGAUAUUCAUGGCAUAUGGAUUUGGAGACUUUCAUUGUCAGAUGAACACGGGACAUGGGUAUUACAGGAAGGAGAUUAAGCAAUAAACGGGAGGCAAGUUGUGGAAGAAUUCUUUUUCAUCUUAUUUGUUUGUAUAAGUUGUUUAUGUUAUUUUUUUGUAACAUGAUUGAAGAAUAUAUAUAUAUAUAUAAAAGGUGUUGGAAUUCUUUUUACAA